GAGUUUGUGGUUGAGUGGUAAAGCAUUUGGCUUCUGAACAGGAGGUCCUGGGUUCGAAUCCUGGUAAAGACU
rnacentral:tRNA from 1 species